rnacentral:lncRNA from 1 species
UUGCAUACUUUUCACUCUAUUUUAGAGUCUAGUGCCAGCACAUACCCAGACUGUGUGAUCCCAUUUCUCGUUGGAAUGAACAUGGAAAACAACUAAGUUUCCAGAGAUGGCUUCAUCUUCUUGAUUCAUAUUUUGCCAUAUUUUAUGAAUUUCCAAUUUUUUUUAGACUUCAUAUAAUUGGCAUUUAAAUGAGACUCCAGAUCUGAAAUUCAACCUCCUUGGACUGAACUGACCUCCGGAGGUUUUCCACAGAUUUGGACAAAUCACUCAGAGGACUCCAGUGGUCAUGAUUAAAUGUUGGCAGAUGUGGGAAUGGAUGCCAGGGCUUAGCAUUUUCAGGAAAUACGAGGCUAUUUUCUAACAUUGCUGCACCUUGUACAGUAGAGUCCUGGCAGUGUCACCAGCACACAUAGCUCAAAGCCAGUAGCAUCACUGCCACCAACAAGGGUCAGCGUUUCAAUCUCUCCUUUCCUUGUGGGCUAGUCCUCAGCAUCAGUUAUCACCCCUCUUUUAUGAUGGCCUUCACCCUGGUUACCAACUAGAGCUUAGAAAUGCUAAUGUCAAUCAAGUUAACAAUGGAGAUCAGACCAUCAUAAUUUUUAAAAUCCAGUCAUCCAGUACAACCACUAUCAGUCACUGCUAUGAUAUUGUACAUGGACAGGGAUGAGACAACUUAAAAUAUACCAUCUUGCCAAUUCUUUUUGACUCUUUGUUUUGUUGGGUUUUUUUCUUUUUCUGAGACAGUGUUUCUCUGUGCGGCCCUGACUGUUCUUGAACUUGCUUUGUAAACUAACCCAGAGAUCCACCUGCUUCUGAUCUUGGUGGAAUUAGAGGUGUAUGCCACCACCAACUGGCUCAUCUUGACAAUUUCAUGAGUAACAUGCUGUUGACCACUGUCACUAUGCUGGGCAUUAGAUUUUAGAACUUGUAUUUGUGGCUAAACAUUUGUACUCUCUGACCAACGUCUUCCCAUUUCCCCAACUUCUGAAACUGAAGCAAAUACUUUCUGUAUAACUUUGACUCUUUUCAUUUCAGACCUAAAUGAGACUGUACAAUAGUUGUCUUCUUGAACUAUAUUUCACAUGCCAUUUCCUUCAAUUUUGUCCGCCUAUGGGAUUCCCUUGGAUUGCUGAAUAGUUAUUCACAUGUAUACACAUAUCACAUUUUGUUUAUCAGUCCUGGAAAUGAUUCUUAACUAUGACAUGAAAACCAUAGCAACAAAAGGAGGAGAAAGUGAAGCAACGCCAGAGCAAAAAUCCCCUGUGCAGUCAUCAAGCAAGCAAAGGCCAUGAGAUCCAACUGUUCCCGUCUUGAAGGGUUGAAAAGUCAUCCUGGUGCAAGUAUAAAUUCUAUGAGCCCUAGAUGGAAAAGAAGCCACUAUGACCUGUCACCUGAGGAAGGAGGCAACAAGGCUUGAUUUGUUGCAUCUUACACUUGACAGUUGUAAGCACUGACAUCCAGGUUCAUCUCAGAAAUUUUCCAAACGAACACACGAUAGGUGAACAUUUCUUACAACUUGGAAUAAAUCCUUGUUUGCUGUCAGAUGCCUGUGUAGUUUUAUCCCAUUUGCUUUAAA